rnacentral:rRNA from 1 species
AUUGAACGCUGGCGGCAUGCCUUACACAUGCAAGUCGAACGGUAACGCGGGGCAACCUGGCGACGAGUGGCGAACGGGUGAGUAACGCAUCGGAACGUGCCCAGUAGUGGGGGAUAGCCCGGCGAAAGCCGGAUUAAUACCGCAUACGACCUACGGGUGAAAGGGGGGGAUCGCAAGACCUCUCGCUAUUGGAGCGGCCGAUGUCAGAUUAGGUAGUUGGUGGGGUAAAGGCCUACCAAGCCGACGAUCUGUAGCUGGUCUGAGAGGACGACAAGCCACACUGGGACUAAGACACGGCCCAGACUCCUACGGGAGGCAGCAGUGGGGAAUUUUGGACAAUGGGCGAAAGCCUGAUCCAGCCAUGCCGCGUGCGGGAAGAAGGCCUUCGGGUUGUAAACCGCUUUUGUCAGGGAAGAAAUCUUCUGAGCUAAUACCUCGGGAGGAUGACGGUACCUGAAGAAUAAGCACCGGCUAACUACGUGCCAGCAGCCGCCGUAA